rnacentral:rRNA from 1 species
CCUACGGGGGGCUGCAGUGGGGAAUAUUGGACAAUGGGGGCAACCCUGAUCCAGCCAUGCCGCGUGUGUGAAGAAGGCCCUCGGGUUGUAAAGCACUUUCAGUGAGGAAGAACGCCUGGUGGUUAAUACCCAUCAGGAAAGACAUCACUCACAGAAGAAGCACCGUCUAACUCCGUGCCAGCAGCCGCGGUAAUACGGAGGGUGCGAGCGUUAAUCGGAAUUACUGGGCGUAAAGCGCGCGUAGGUGGCUUGAUAAGCCGGUUGUGAAAGCCCCGGGCUCAACCUGGGAACGGCAUCCGGAACUGUCAAGCUAGAGUGCAGGAGAGGAAGGUAGAAUUCCCGGUGUAGCGGUGAAAUGCGUAGAGAUCGGGAGGAAUACCAGUGGCGAAGGCGGCCUUCUGGACUGACACUGACACUGAGGUGCGAAAGCGUGGGUAGCAAACAGGAUUAGAUACCCCAGUAGUC